GGGAUAGAAUUCCAGGAGUAGCGGUGAAAUGCGUAGAUAUCUGGAGGAAUACCAAAGGCGAAGGCAGUCCCCUGGUCCGAUACUGACACUGAGGUACGAAAGCGUGGGGAGCAAACAGGAUUAGAUACCCUGGUAGUCMACGCCCUAAACGAUGUCGAUUAGCCAUUGGAASGACCCCUUUUCSUUUCAGUGACGUAGCUAACGCGUUAAAUCGACCGCCUGGGAAGUACGACCGCAAGGUUAAAACUCAAAGGAAUUGACGGGGACCUGAACAAGCGGUGAAUGAUGUGGAUUAAUUCGAUGCUACGCGAAGAACCUUUACCUACCUUUGACAUGGCCAAAGUUCUACCGAGAGGCGGAAGUACUCGUAAGAGGAUUGGCGCACAGGUGCUGCAUGGUUGUCGUCAGUUCGUGUCGUGAGAUGUUGGGUUCAGUCCCGCAACGAACGCAACCCUUAUCUUUAAUUGCUCCUAUUUUAACAGGCACUUUAAAGAAACUGCCAAUGAUAAGUUGGAGGAAGGUGGGGAUCACGUCAAGUCCGCAUGGCCUUUAUAGGUAGGGCUUCACACGUCAUACAAUGGUUAGAACAAAGAGCUGCAAAUUCGUAAGAAGGAGCCAAUCUCACAAACCUAACCUCAGUUCGAAUUGCGGUCUGCAACUCGAGCGCAUGAAGCCGGAAUCGCUAGUAAUCGUGGAUCAGAAUGCCACGGUGAAUACGUUCUUAGGUCUU
rnacentral:rRNA from 1 species